AGGGCACACGGUGAAUGCCUAGGCUCUCAGAGGCGAAGAAGGACGUAAUAGGCUGCGAUAAGCUACGAGUAGGUGCCUAUAACCGUUCAGUCGUAGAUUUCCGAAUGGGGCAACCUAUUCAUUUUAAUGAAUGAUAUAAUCGCAAACCUGCCGAACUGAAACAUCUAAGUAAGCAGAGGAAGAGAAAAUAAUAAUGAUUUCCUGAGUAGCGGCGAGCGAAAAGGAAAGAGCCCAAACCUAUGUAGUUUAGGCUAUGUAGGGGUUGUAGGACCGUAAUGAUGAUAUGUUUGGUGAGUGGAACUAAUUGGAAAGUUAGACCAUAGGGGGUGAUAGUCCCGUACACGAAGCUAGAUAUAUUUGACACGGUAUCCUGAGUACCGCGGGGCAAGAGGAACCCUGUGGGAAUCUGCCGGGACCAUCCGGUAAGGCUAAAUACUCCUGAGAGACCGAUAGUGAACUAGUACCGUGAGGGAAAGGUGAAAAGUAUCUCGAAUAGAGAGGUGAAAAGAACCUGAAACCGUGUGCUUACAAGCGGUCGGAGCCAAUUUAUUUGGUGACGGCGUGCCUUUUGCAUAAUGAGCCUACGAGUUGCUCUUCACUAGCAAGAUUAAGUGCUUCAGGCACGAAGUCGUAGCGAAAGCGAGUCUGAAUAGGGCGUUAAGUUAGUGGAGGCAGACGCGAAACCUUGUGAUCUACCCAUGAUCAGGUUGAAGCUCUGGUAACACAGAGUGGAGGACCGAACCAGUUGACGUUGAAAAGUCUUUGGAUGAAUUGUGGGUAGGGGUGAAAGGCUAAUCAAACUAGGAGAUAGCUCGUACUCCCCGAAAUGCUUUUAGGAGCAGCCUUCGGUAUAAGUGUUAUAGAGGUAGAGCUACGAAUUGGGUAAGGGGGCUUCAUCGCCUACCGAACUCAGAUAAACUCCGAAUACUAUAACAUGUUCCCGAGGAGUGAGGGCAUGGGUGCUAAGGUCCUUGUCCGAGAGGGAAACAACCCAGACCAUCAGUUAAGGUCCCUAAAUCUAUUCUAAGUUGAGCUAACGAGGUUCAAUUGCAUUGACAGCUAGGAUGUUGGCUUGGAAGCAGCCAUUCAUUUAAAGAGUGCGUAACAGCUCACUAGUCGAGCGAUUGAGCAUGGAUAAUGAACGGGCAUAAGAAUAGUACCGAAACUAUGGAUUGCAGUUUACUGCAGUGGUAGGGGAGCAUUCUAACAUCAGUGAAGAUGUAUCGUAAGGUAUGUUGGAGAGGUUAGAAAAGAAAAUGUAGGCAUAAGUAACGAUAAAGCAGGCGAGAAACCUGCUGGCCGUAAGACUAAGGUUUCCUGAUCAACGCUAAUCGGAUCAGGGUUAGUCGGGACCUAAGACGAACCGAUUUAGGGUAGUCGAUGGACAACAGGUUAAUAUUCCUGUACCAAGUAGAGAGGACGGAGAUGGCGAGAUGUUGCGUACUGACGGAAUAGUACGUUGAAGGGAGGCGUGAGCCCCUGAUAGUACCACGAGUUUUCGGAUGAGUGGAUAAUGCAUCAACCGAUCUUCCAAGAAAAGCCUCUACACUAAAGCCCGUACCGCAAACCGACACAGGUAGUCGAGGAGAGUAUCCUAAGGCCCUCGAGUGAGUCGUGGUUAAGGAACUAGGCAAAUUAACCCUGUAACUUCGGGAUAAGGGGAGCCACCUUCGGGUGGCCGCAGAGAAAUGGCCCAGGCGACUGUUUAUCAAAAACACAGGGCUUUGCAAAAACGAAAGUUGAAGUAUAAGGCCUGACACCUGCCCGGUGCUGGAAGGUUAAGGAAGGGGGUCAUCUUCGGAGAAGCUCUUAACUGAAGCCCCAGUAAACGGCGGCCGUAACUAUAACGGUCCUAAGGUAGCGAAAUUCCUUGUCGGGUAAGUUCCGACCUGCACGAAUGGUGUAACGAUCUGGGCACUGUCUCAACCAUGAGCUCGGUGAAAUUGUAGUAUCGGUGAAGAUGCCGAUUACCCGCAGUGGGACGAAAAGACCCCGUGAACCUUUACUAUAGCUUAGUAUUGGCUUUGGAUA
rnacentral:rRNA from 1 species